AUGGCUGUCCUGGUGCUGCUCCUCUGCCUGGUGAACUUUCCAAGCUGUGCCCUGUCCCAGGAGCAGCUGAAGGAGUCAGGACCUGGUCUGGUGCAGGCCUCACAGAGCCUGUCUCUCACCUGCACUGUCUCUGGGUUCUCAUUAACCAGCAAUGGUGUACACUGGGUCCUCCAGCCACCAGGAAAAGGACUGCAGUGGGUGGGAGUAAUAGGGUAUACUGGAAGCACAGAUUAUAAUUCAGCUCUCAAAUCCAGACUCAGCAUUAGCAGAGACACAUCCAAGGGCCAAGUGUUCUUAAAACUGAACAAUCUGCAAACUGAGGACACAGCCAUGUAUUACUGUACCAUAUACACAGUGAUGGAACUCAAGUGUGAGCCUGCACAAAAACCUCCCUAUGGAGACAUCUGUUACCAAAGGGGGGCACCAAUGACCAUCAGGACGCCUGAGGACCACAAGUAA